GCCAGAAAGCUGGGGGGAGAGGGGUGGGGAGGGUUGGGCAUGAGGAGGGACCCUGGGCCUGGAGUUUGGGAAGAGAACCCUCGUGGAAAAGCCUGUGGCCUC